ACUAAAUAGAUACCCAGGUAGUCCACGCCCUAAACGAUGUCUACUAGUUGUUGGUGGAGUAAAAUCCAUGAGUAAACGCAGCUAAACGCGUGAAGUAGACCGCCUGGGGAGUACGGUCGCAAGAUUAAAACUCAAAGGAAUUGACGGGGCCGCACAAGCGGUGGAUUAUGUGGAUUAAAUUCGAUGCAACGCGAAAAACCUUAACCUGGCCUUGACAUGCCACUAACGAAGCAGAGAUGCAUUAGGUGCCCGUAACGGGAAAGUGGACACAGGUGCUGCAUGGCUGUCGUCAGCUCGUGUCGUGAGAUGUUGGGUUAAGUCCCGCAACGAGCGCAACCCUUGCCAUUAAUUGCCAUCA
rnacentral:rRNA from 1 species